GGGGAUUUAGCUCAGCGGCAUAAGCGCCUGCCUUGAAAGCAGGCAGUCGUAAGUUCGAUCCCUG
rnacentral:tRNA from 1 species